rnacentral:rRNA from 1 species
UACGAAGGGUGCAAGCGUUGUUCGGAAUUAUUGGGCGUAAAGGGCGUGCAGGCGGUCUAUCAAGUCAGGUGUGAAAUCCCGGAGCUUAACUUCGGAACUGCGCCUGAAACUGAUAGACUCGAGUCCCAGAGGGGAUAGCGGAAUUCCAUGUGUAGAGGUGAAAUUCGUAGAGAUAUGGAGGAACACCAGUGGCGAAGGCGGCUAUCUGGAUGGUGACUGACGCUGAGACGCGAAAGCGUGGGGAUCAAACAGG